rnacentral:rRNA from 1 species
UAAGCAAUUAUACAGCGAAACUGCGAAUGGCUCAUUAUAUAAGUUAUCGUUUAUUUGAUAGUACCUUACUACUUGGAUAACCGUGGUAAUUCUAGAGCUAAUACAUGCUAAAAAUCCCGACUUCGGAAGGGAUGUAUUUAUUAGAUUAAAAACCAAUGCCCUUCGGGGCUCUCUGGUGAUUCAUGAUAACUUCUCGAAUCGCAUGGCCUUGCGCCGGCGAUGGUUCAUUCAAAUUUCUUCCCUAUCAACUUUCGAUGUUUGGGUAUUGGCCAAACAUGGUUGCAACGGGUAACGGAGGGUUAGGGCUCGACCCCGGAGAAGGAGCCUGAGAAACGGCUACUACAUCCAAGGAAGGCAGCAGGCGCGCAAAUUACCCAAUCCCGACUCGGGGAGGUAGUGACAAUAAAUACUGAUACAGGGCUCUUUUGGGUCUUGUAAUUGGAAUGAGUACAAUUUAAAUCCCUUAACGAGGAACAAUUGGAGGGCAAGUCUGGUGCCAGCAGCCGCGGUAAUUCCACUUCCAAUAGCGUAUAUUAAAGUUGUUGUGGUUAAAAAGCUCGUAGUUGAACCUUGGGCCUGGCUGGCCGGUCCGCCUCACCGCGUGUACUGGUCCGGCCGGGCCUUUCCCUCUGUGGAACCCCAUGCCCUUCACUGGGUGUGGCGGGGAAACAGGACUUUUACUUUGAAAAAAUUAGAGUGCUCCAGGCAGGCCUAUGCUCGAAUACAUUAGCAUGGAAUAAUAGAAUAGGACGUGUGGUUCUAUUUUGUUGGUUUCUAGGACCGCCGUAAUGAUUAAUAGGGACAGUCGGGGGCAUCAGUAUUCAAUUGUCAGAGG